UAGAGGGUCGUGCUACAAGUGUGGAAAGCCGGGUCACUACAAACCGGACUGUCCGAUGAAUAAAAAGACAAAAGAAAAAGAUUCAUACAAAUCGCAUAAGAAACCAUCAAAGCCAAGGAGGGCAUACAUUGCUUGGGAAAGCGAUAGCGACUCCUCCGAUGAUGAAAGCUCAAGUGAUGAAGAUGAAAAUGCAAAUCUAUGUCUCUCUGCUCAUCAAAAGAAUAAG
rnacentral:lncRNA from 1 species